rnacentral:rRNA from 1 species
UACGAAGGGGGCUAGCGUUGCUCGGAUUGACUGGGCGUAAAGGGCGCGUAGGCGGUUUGUACAGUCAGACGUGAGAUUCCUGGGCUCAACCUGGGGGCUGCGUUUGAUACGUGCAGACUUGAGUUCGGAAGAGGGUCGUGGAAUUCCCAGUGUAGAGGUGAAAUUCGUAGAUAUUGGGAAGAACACCGGUGGCGAAGGCGGCGACCUGGUCCGAUACUGACGCUGAGGCGCGAAAGCGUGGGGAGCAAACAGG